AGGGAAUCUUCCGCAAUGGACGAAAGUCUGACGGAGCAACGCCGCGUGAGUGAUGAAGGUUUUCGGAUCGUAAAGCUCUGUUGCCAGGGAAGAACGUCUUCUGGAGUAACUGCCAGGAGAGUGACGGUACCUGAGAAGAAAGCCCCGGCUAACUACGUGCCAGCAGCCGCGGUAAUACGUAGGGGGCAAGCGUUGUCCGGAAUUAUUGGGCGUAAAGCGCGCGCAGGCGGCUGUUUAAGUCUGGUGGAUAAGCCUGGGGCUCAACUCCGGGUCGCACUGGAAACUGGACGGCUUGAGUGCAGAAGAGGAGAGUGGAAUUCCACGUGUAGCGGUGAAAUGCGUAGAGAUCGGGAGGAACACCAGUGGCGAAGGCGGCCUGCUGGGCUUUAACUGACGCUGAGGCACGAAAGCAUGGGUAGCAAAC
rnacentral:rRNA from 1 species